rnacentral:tRNA from 2 species
GGGUGCGUAGCUCAGUUGGUAGAGCAAUUGACUCUUAAUCAAUAGGUCUGGGGUUCGACCCCCCACGCGCCUACCA